rnacentral:rRNA from 1 species
AUUGAACGCUGGCGGCAGGCCUAACACAUGCAAGUCGAGCGGAUGAAGGGAGCUUGCUCCUGGAUUCAGCGGCGGACGGGUGAGUAAUGCCUAGGAAUCUGCCUGGUAGUGGGGGAUAACGUCCGGAAACGGGCGCUAAUACCGCAUACGUCCUGAGGGAGAAAGUGGGGGAUCUUCGGACCUCACGCUAUCAGAUGAGCCUAGGCCGGAUUAGCUAGUUGGUGGGGUAAAGGCCUACCAAGGCGACGAUCCGUAACUGGUCUGAGAGGAUGAUCAGUCCCACUGGAACUGAGACACGGUCCAGACUCCUACGGGAGGCAGCAGUGGGGAAUAUUGGACAAUGGGCGAAAGCCUGAUCCAGCCAUGCCGCGUGUGUGAAGAAGGUCUUCGGAUUGUAAAGCACUUUAAGUUGGGAGGAAGGGCAGUAAGUUAAUACCUUGCUGUUUUGACGUUACCAACAGAAUAAGCACCGGCUAACUUCGUG